rnacentral:tRNA from 1 species
UCCUGGUUAGCUCAGUUGAUAGGGCGCUCCACCGAAAAUAAAGAGGUCCUUUGUUCGAUACCAGGACCAGGAG